rnacentral:rRNA from 1 species
UACGAAGGGUCUAAGCGUUGUUCGGAUUUAUUGGGCGUAAAGCGCGCGCAGGUGGGUUAGCAAGUCAGAUGUGAAAUCUCGGGGCUCAACCCCGAAACUGCGUCUGAAACUGCUAGUCUAGAGUGUUGGAGGGGGUAGGGGAAUUUCACGUGUAGGGGUAAAAUCCGUAGAGAUGUGAAGGAACACCGGAGGCGAAGGCGCCUACCUGGACAACUACUGACACUGAGGCGCGAAAGCGUGGGGAGCAAAC